AUUGAACGCUGGCGGCAGGCCUAACACAUGCAAGUCGAACGAGUGGCGGACGGGUGAGUAAUGACUGGGAAACUGCUCGAUGGAGGGGGAUAACUACAGGACACGGUAGAUAAUACCGCAUUCCAGCGGAUGUGCCCAGAUGGGAUUAGCUAGUAGGUGGGGUAACGGCUCUCCUAGGCGACGAUCCCUAGCUGGUCUGAGAGGAUGACCAGCCACACUGGAACUGAGACACGGUCCAGACUCCUACGGGAGGCAGCAGUAGGGAAUAUUGCACAAUGGGCGCAAGCCUGAUGCAGCCAUGCCGCGUGUAUGAAGAAGGCCUUCGGAUUGUAAAGUACUUUCAGCGAGGAGGCGUUACUCGCAGAAGAAGCACCGGCUAACUCCGUGCCAGCCGCCGCGGUAAUUC
rnacentral:rRNA from 1 species